CAGCAGCCACGGUAAUACGUAGGUGGCAAGCGUUGUUCGGAUUUAUUGGGCGUAAAGGGCUCGCAGGCGGUUUCUUAAGUCUGAUGUGAAAGCCCCCGGCUCAACCGGGGAGGGUCAUUGGAAACUGGGAAACUUGAGUGCAGAAGAGGAGAGUGGAAUUCCACGUGUAGCGGUGAAAUGCGUAGAGAUGUGGAGGAACACCAGUGGCGAAGGCGACUCUCUGGUCUGUAACUGACGCUGAGGAGCGAAAGCGUGGGGAGCGAACAGGAUUAGAUACCCCCGUAGUCCCUGUCUCUUAUAC
rnacentral:rRNA from 1 species